CGGCAGCCAGCCCUGGCUCCUGUGCUGGCUACCUCCCGUACUUGUUUCCUAAGUGUCUUUCUUGCAUACAAGAAAGUAUAGUAGUAUCUCGUGUUAAGAUUUUAAUCUUGAACGGCACAAGACUAUCUUUGUGGGAAAGCAAGUACUCCAACGCAGAUGCCUAAUGUGGAGGGAUAAACUGUCCAAACAGAUCUGGAGGUGUGAAGCAGACUACUAACUUG
rnacentral:lncRNA from 1 species